CAGAAAGGCAAGCAAGAGUGCAAGAGGAUCACCAGACCCUCAAUGGUCAGAAUCAGGUUUGCCUCAAAACUCAAUAUAUUGGUGAAACAGGUCUUCAAAUCCUUGUCUACCUGCCUUUACCCACAAGUGCUAGGAUAACAGCUGAGAAUCAUGCACCCAUCAUUCCUGAGAAGCCAUUAUCUGAUUGGAAGCUUCAUCACUCAUUGAUCAAAGGCUCGACUUAAAUUCUA